AGAGUUUGAUCCUGGCUCAGGAUGAACGCUAGCGACAGGCUUAACACAUGCAAGUCGAGGGGCAGCGAGGAAGUGGCAACACUUCCGUCGGCGACCGGCGCACGGGUGAGUAACGCGUAUGCAACCUGCCCUUCACAGGGGGAUAACCGGGAGAAAUUCCGACUAAUACCGCAUACGUCCUCCGGGGGCAUCCCCGGGGGAUGAAAGAAUUAUCGGUGAAGGAUGGGCAUGCGUGAUAUUAGGUAGUUGGCGGGGCAACGGCCCACCAAGCUCACGAUAUCUAGGGGUUCUGAGAGGAAGGUCCCCCACAUUGGUACUGAGACACGGACCAAACUCCUACGGGAGGCAGCAGUGAGGAAUAUUGGUCAAUGGACGAGAGUCUGAACCAGCCAAGUCGCGUGAAGGAAGACGGAUCUAUGGUUUGUAAACUUCUUUAGUGCGGGAACAAAGCGGCGUCGUGACGCCGGAUGAGUGUACCGCAAGAAUAAGCAUCGGCUAACUCCGUGCCAGCAGCCGCGGUAAUACGGAGGAUGCGAGCGUUAUCCGGAUUUAUUGGGUUUAAAGGGAGCGUAGAUGGAUGUUUAAGUCAGUUGUGAAAGUUUGCGGCUCAACCGUAAAAUUGCAGUUGAUACUGGAUAUCUUGAGUGCAGUUGAGGCAGGCGGAAUUCGUGGUGUAGCGGUGAAAUGCUUAGAUAUCACGAAGAACUCCGAUUGCGAAGGCAGCCUGCUAAGCUGCAACUGACAUUGAGGCUCGAAAGUGUGGGUAUCAAACAGGAUUAGAUACCCUGGUAGUCCACACGGUAAACGAUGAAUACUCGCUGUUUGCGAUAUACGGCAAGCGGCCAAGCGAAAGCGUUAAGUAUUCCACCUGGGGAGUACGCCGGCAACGGUGAAACUCAAAGGAAUUGACGGGGACCCGCACAAGUAGCGGAGCAUGUGGUUUAAUUCGAAGCAACGCGAAGAACCUUACCUAAGCUUGACAUCCUUUUGACCGAUGCCUAAUCGCAUUUUUCCCUUCGGGGACAGAAGUGACAGGUGGUGCAUGGUUGUCGUCAGCUCGUGUCGUGAGAUGUUGGGUUAAGUCCCGCAACGAGCGCAACCCUUGCCUUUAGUUGCCAUCAUUAAGUUGGGCACUCUAGAGGGACUGCCAGGGAUAACCUGGAGGAAGGUGGGGAUGACGUCAAAUCAUCAUGCCCCUUAUGCUUAGGGCUACACACGUGCUACAAUGGGUGGUACAGAGGGCAGCGAAGUCGUGAGGCCAAGCUAAUCCCUUAAAGCCAUUCUCAGUUCGGAAAAUAGGCUGAAACUCGCUUACAUGAAGCUGGAGUUACUAGUAAUCGCAGAUCAGAAUGCUGCGGUGAAU
rnacentral:rRNA from 1 species